rnacentral:rRNA from 1 species
CCCCUAGACGUUCUGGGCUGCACGCGCGCUACAAUAAUACGCACAGCGAGUAUCACCGAGCUCGAAAGGGCAAGGUAAACAAUAGAAAAGGUACUGUAAUGGUUAUAGAUCCUUGUAAUUAUUGAUCUUCAACGAGGAAUUCCUAGUAAGUAUGUGUCAUCAUCACGCACUGAUUACGUCCCUGCCCUUUGUACACACCGCCCGUCGCUCCUACCGAUUGGGUGAGCCGAUGAAACUCUCGGAUGUAGACUAUUUAUAGUCCGCAGAAGAGAUUUGAAUCGUNGNGCUUAGNGGAAGGAGAANUCGUANCA